rnacentral:rRNA from 1 species
UACGUAGGGGGCUAGCGUUGUCCGGAAUCAUUGGGCGUAAAGAGCGCGUAGGCGGCCAGAUAAGUCCGGUGUGAAAGUCACAGGCUCAACCUGUGAAUGCCGCUGGAAACUGUCUGGCUAGAGUCCGGGAGGGGCGAGUGGAAUUCCUGGUGUAGCGGUGAAAUGCGCAGAUAUCAGGAGGAACACCAGUGGCGAAGGCGGUGCUCUGGGCCGGAACUGACGCUGAGGAGCGAAAGCGUGGGGAGCGAACAGG